AUUGAACGCUGGCGGCAGGCCUAACACAUGCAAGUCGAGCGAGCGGCGGACGGGUGAGUAAUGUAUGGGGAUCUGCCCGAUAGCGGGGGAUAACUACUGGAAACGGUGGCUACUAACGCAUACUAUCGGAUGAACCCAUAUGGGUUUAGCUAGUAGGUGGGGUAAAGGCUCACCUAGGCGACGAUCUCUAGCUGGUCUGAGAGGAUGAUCAGCCACACUGGGACUGAGACACGGUCCAGCCUCCUACGGGAGGCAGCAGUGGGGAAUAUUGCACAAUGGGCGCAAGCCUGAUGCAGCCAUGCCGCGUGUGUGAAGAAGGCCUUCGGGUUGUAAAGCACUUUCAGCGAGGAGGCGUUACUCGCAGAAGAAGCACCGGCUAACUCCGUGCCAGCAGCCGCGGUAAUUC
rnacentral:rRNA from 1 species